AUCGCUUCUCGGCCUUUUGGCUAAGAUCAAGUGUAGUAAUUAUGCCAUACAAAUUGGGUUGCACAAUUCUAUUUUCUAUUUUAUCUUAUUAUUGAGGGGACUAGGGCACUCACA
rnacentral:snRNA from 1 species